GAUGAACGCUGGCGGCGUGCCUAACACAUGCAAGUCGAGCGAACAGACGAGGAUUUUGCCUCGCUUACGUUAGCGGCGGACGGGUGAGGCCCACGUGGCUAACUUAUCUUUAAGACUGGCAUAACUUCGCGAAACCUAAUCUAACACCGGUCCAUAUAUUGAACCGCAUGGUUCAUCAGAGAAAGCCGUAUCAGAUGUCACUAAUACAGGUAACCUCGCCGGAUUAGCUAGUUGGUAGGGUAACGGCUUACCAAGGCGACGAUGCGUAGCUGACCUGAGAGGAUGAUCAGCCACACUGGAACUGAGACACGGUCCAGACUCCUACGGGAGGCAGCAGUAGGGAAUCUUCGGCAAUGGGCGAAAGCCUGACGGAGCAACGCCGCGUGAGUGAAGAAGGUCUUCGGAUCGUAAAGCACUGUUAGUUGGGAAGAAGAAAAGUAUGAUUAUCUAUGCAUGUCUUGACGGUACCUAAAGAGAAAGCAACGGCUAACUACGUG
rnacentral:rRNA from 1 species